rnacentral:rRNA from 1 species
ACCGCAUACGAUCUACGGAUGAAAGUGGGGGAUCGCAAGACCUCAUGCUCGUGGAGCGGCCGAUAUCUGAUUAGCUAGUUGGUGGGGUAAGAGCCCACCAAGGCGACGAUCAGUAGCUGGUCUGAGAGGACGACCAGCCACACUGGGACUGAGACACGGCCCAGACUCCUACGGGAGGCAGCAGUGGGGAAUUUUGGACAAUGGGGGCAACCCUGAUCCAGCAAUGCCGCGUGUGUGAAGAAGGCCUUCGGGUUGUAAAGCACUUUUGUCAGGAAAGAAAUCGCUCUGGAUAAUACCCGGGGUGGAUGACGGUACCUGAAGAAUCAGCACCGGCUAACUACGUGCCAGCAGCCGCGGUAAUACGUAGGGUGCAAGCGUUAAUCGGAAUUACUGGGCGUAAAGCGUGCGCAGGCGGUUGUGCAAGACAGAUGUGAAAUCCCCGGGCUCAACCUGGGAACUGCAUUUGUGACUGCACGGCUAGAGUGUGUCAGAGGGGGGUAGAAUUCCACGUGUAGCAGUGAAAUGCGUAGAUAUGUGGAGGAACACCGAUGGC